CCUACGGGUGGCAGCAGUGGGGAAUAUUGGGCAAUGGGCGAAAGCCUGACCCAGCAACGCCGCGUGAAGGAAGAAGGCUUUCGGGUUGUAAACCUCUUUUCUCAGGGACGAAGGAAGUGACGGUACCUGAAGAAUAAGCCACGGCUAACUACGUGCCAGCAGCCGCGGUAAUACGGAGGGGGCAAGCGUUAUGCGGAUUUACUGGGUGUAAAGGGCGUGUAGGCGGGACUGCAAGUCAGAUGUGAAAACCACGGGCUCAACCUGUGGCCUGCAUUUGAAACUGUAGGUCUUGAGUACUGGAGAGGCAGACGGAAUUCCUAGUGUAGCGGUGAAAUGCGUAGAUAUUAGGAGGAACACCAGUGGCGAAGGCGGUCUGCUGGACAGCAACUGACGCUGAGGCGCGAAAGCGUGGGGAGCAAACAGGAUUAGAUACCCUUGUAGUC
rnacentral:rRNA from 1 species